AUUCAGGAGAGGAAUGAUUUGAAUUUUUGCUGAUCUAGGUAUUUCUUCUAAUGCUCUCUCACAGGUGCCUAUGAUUUCGAUCGUGAACAGGGAUGUACUACAGAUUGCACUGUAGAGAGCUAUACUUUCACCAGAGAAGAUGGUCGUUACCUGCGGAGUUUCAGGUCCUGCUGUCGUUCUACAAGCUGUGGCAGUCUAGUUGGUGAAAAGGGAAAACCUAAGUUGAAUGGGCGGGAGUGUCCAACUUGUUGUCCUUCUCUCUCAAAAGCCUGUAAGGGCUCAAAGACCAUCAAGUGUAACGAUGAUGAGACUCAGUGCAUAGAGUUUGUUGUUGCUCACGAUAACAGUUCAAUUCCUGACGAGCAUUUCCACGGCUGUGCAUCCCCAAAAU